rnacentral:rRNA from 1 species
UACGUAGGUGACAAGCGUUGUCCGGAUUUACUGGGCGUAGAGAGCGCGCAGGCGGUCGUUCAAGUCGAGUGUGAAAGCCCCCGGCUCAACUGGGGAGGGUCAUUCGAUACUGAUCGACUCGAAGGCAGGAGAGGGUAGUGGAAUUCCCGGUGUAGUGGUGAAAUGCGUAGAUAUCGGGAGGAACACCAGUGGCGAAGGCGACUACCUGGCCUGUUCUUGACGCUGAGGCGCGAAAGCUAGGGGAGCAAACGGG